rnacentral:rRNA from 1 species
UACGUAGGGUGCGAGCGUUGUCCGGAAUUAUUGGGCGUAAAGAGCUCGUAGGCGGUUUGUCACGUCUGCUGUGAAAUCCCGAGGCUCAACCUCGGGCCUGCAGUGGGUACGGGCAGACUGGAGUGCGGUAGGGGAGAAUGGAAUUCCUGGUGUAGCGGUGGAAUGCGCAGAUAUCAGGAGGAACACCGAUGGCGAAGGCAGAUCUCUGGGCCGUAACUGACGCUGAGGAGCGAAAGCGUGGGGAGCGAACAGG